GAAGGCAAACAACUGAGUGUUCUGACUGACGCUUCUAGGGCUUCAUAUUUCAGAGAAGGCUUAAGAGAAGAGAGAUGUUCAAUGUGUGCUAAGAAACUGAUAUUUUCUGUUGGUGAUUAAGCCAGGAAAGAAGGGAAGAAAAACAGUGUUUUCUAUACAGGAGCCAACUAAGAGAUCUCUGGAGUUCCAUAUUUCACAUCUGACAUGAUGAUUAAAUUAUUCAGUAUCACUUUGGCUGCUAUUCCAAUCAGUGUGCUAACUUUGUCUUAUCAAGACAUCUCUCAGAAGCCUGGAGGAAAUGUGAUCAACACAGAGAGAGAAGGUGAGUAAUAUUUUUGUUUG